rnacentral:SRP_RNA from 1 species
GGGAGGACUCUGCCGGGAAGCUAGCACUCUCCUGUAAGCGCAAACGUGCUCAGGCGCGGUGAAGCUUGGAAGCAGCUUGAGUUAUUGCCAUUAGUCUUGCUGCUGGCGUAGAAGCUCUGUCUUAUAGGACUUGUGUUUUUGAAAAUCCGUAAGGUUCGGAAGAAAGCAGCGGUAAUCUUAGGCAUUGGUGCUUAUGAGUAACAGAGUGGAGUCGGCAACAAGGUAGCUAACCGCAAUAGCUUUUGCCCAUUUUCAGGCACGUCCUCCU